rnacentral:rRNA from 1 species
UAAUCUGGUUGAUCCUGCCAGUAGUCAUACGCUCGUUUCAAGAUUAAGCCAUGCAUGUCUAAGUAUAAGCGAUUUAUAUACUGUGAAACUGCGUACGGCUCAUUAUAUCAGUUAUGGUUUCUUCGGUAGUGUUCUUUUAGUUGGAUACUUGCAGUAAUUCUGGAAAAAAUACAUGCUUUCAUAGAACCUGAUUGCUUUUCGGAGCAAGAGGGUUGCAUUUAUUAGAUUUGAAGCCAACAUUAAUUGGUGAAUCAUGAUAACUCAGCAGAUCGAUUGUUUCGUACAAUCGACGAAUCGUUUAAGUUUCUGCCCCAUCAGUUGUCGAUGGUAGGGUAUUGGCCUACCAUGACGAUCACGGGUGACGGAGAAUUAGGGUUCGAUUCCGGAGAGGGGGCCUGAGAAACGGCCACCACAUCCAAGGAAGGCAGCAGGCGCGUAAAUUACCCAAUGUGGAUUCCACGAGGUAGUGACGAAGAAUAGUGAUGAGGAGCUCUUGUAGUUUCUCGAUCAGAAUGAGUGCAAUGUAAAACUCUCAACGAGGAUCAACUGGAGGGCAAGUCUGGUGCCAGCAGCCGCGGUAAUUCCAGCUCCAGAAGCGUAUGCUAACGUUGUUGUGAUUAAAAAGCUCGUAGUUGAAAUUCUGGUGAGAUUGACCGACCACUUGAGUUGAAUGACUCUUGUUUUGGUUGUUUUGUUGAUCAUACCAUCCUUCUCUGUUCGCAAGAAUGGAGAUCGUUUACUGUAAGCAAAAUAGAGUGUUUCAAGCAGGCUGUAAUUAGGCCAGUAUAUUUCUUAUGGGAUAAUGAGAUAGGAUUUGCGUGCUAUUUCGUUGGUUUGUACACGCAAGUAAUGAUUAAGAGGAACAGUUGGGGGUAUUCGUAUUUACCAGCUAGAGAUGAAAUUCUUGGAUUUGGGAAAGACGAACUACUGCGAAGGCAUUUAUCAAAGAUGUUUUCAUUAAUCAAGAACGAAAGUUAGGGGAUCAAAAGUGAUUAGAUACCACUGUAGUCUUAACCGUAAACGAUGCCGACUUGCGAUUGUCCGACGUUUUUUCAAUAUGACUCGGGCAGCAGCACAUGAGAAAUCAAAGUCUUUGGGUUUCAGGGGGAGUAUGGUCGCAAGGCUGAAACUUAAAGGAAUUGACGGAAGGGCACCACCAGGAGUGGAGCCUGCGGCUUAAUUUGACUCAACACGGGAAAACUUACCAGGUCCAGACAUUAGUAGGAUAAGACAGAUUGAGAGCUCUUUCUUGAUUUAAUGGGUGGUGGUGCAUGGUCGUUUUUAGUUGGUGGAGUGAUUUGUCUGGUUAAUUCCGUUAACGAACGAGACCUUAACCCUA